rnacentral:tRNA from 1 species
AGCAAAAUAGUUUAAUUGCGGGAAAACAAAACCGUUCCACGGUUAAGAUAGAGGUUCAAAUCCUCUUUUUGCUA